CUACCUUUCUGGGAGGCAGACCCAGGGGACCUAUCUUGAGGGCCAAGGUGGAUGUGGCAGUGACCUCGUCUCUGGUACGCCUUCAGUACACCUAAGGCACACAGGUUACAAGAGUGUCUGUCCUCCCUGUCAAUGUACACAGGUGGGAGCUGAGGCCCAGGGGAGACCCACCAUGGCCUUGAACCUACUCUGGAAGGGCACUCUGGCAAAGACUCCAUCCACUGUCAGGACACAGAAGUUUACUAGUGUGGUCCAAGAAUCUAGAAGUGCUGUCUGGAACACGGUCAAGAUCUGAUCACUGAAGCCACCACAUAUUCUGGAAAGAGGUAACAGAGAAAUCAAACUGGACCUGAGCUGGAAGCUCCAUGCUUACUGGUAUUGGAAGUGCCAGAAGGUACUCUUGAGGUUGCUGAGGGAGAAAAGCCAUCCAUGACCUUACCCAGAUGUGGAUCCCGAAUGCUUCAAUACCAACAUUCCAGGUCAUAACCAUUCAAGGCCAGGAACAUCGGCUUAUAACAUCACCCACCUCAAACACUGAGUCAUCAGAAAUACAAAGCAGGGCUUCUGUGAGAGAGCUGUUAACCUAGCAGAUAGUAGGCCCAGGAUGUGAGCAUCAGCAUGGAAGAGGAGGAGGACAAAGAGGAGGAGGAAGAGGAGGAGGGAGAAGAAGAGGAGGAGGAAGAGCAGGAGGAGGAGGAGGAGGAGGAGGAGGCAGCAUCUGGCUGGAUUCUGCGCUUUACACACCCUUUCCAUAACAGACAUGUGGAACCUGAAGCACCAGGAAUUUAACGUGCCCAAGAUCACACAGUUUUAAAAAUGGCAUAGAGUUAUCCCCAUGGGACAUCUCUCAGAAGGCAUGGCAGCCAGAACCUGGGCCCAAGAGACAAAGGAAGACGAGGGUCUCGUACUGCCACCCCCAGAAGAGAAAAGGGAAGCCACACAACACCAGACAGCUCUGUACUUCCUGAGGACGAGGAACUGUCUGCAGCUUCCUGUUGAACAAAGGCAUCCCCAGAGAGUCUAGCUCUAGAUGGAACUCGCCGAGCUGAAAGGCAUUCUGAACGUUUGGGUGUAGUCACCGUGUUCCAGGCACCUUGACUUGUGCUUAGUGCGAGUCUAUUACAAAAGCUCCCAAGUAAAUCACCGUGUUAAA